GAUGAACGCUGGCGGCGUGCCUAAUACAUGCAAGUCGAGCGAACGGACGAGAAGCUUGCUUUUCUGAUGUUAGCGGCGGACGGGUGAGUAACACGUGGAUAACCUACCUAUAAGACUGGGAUAACUUCGGGAAACCGGAGCUAAUACCGGAUAAUAUUUUGAACCGCAUGGUUCAAAAGUGAAAGACGGUCUUGCUGUCACUUAUAGAUGGAUCCGCGCUGCAUUAGCUAGUUGGUAAGGUAACGGCUUACCAAGGCAACGAUGCAUAGCCGACCUGAGAGGGUGAUCGGCCACACUGGAACUGAGACACGGUCCAGACUCCUACGGGAGGCAGCAGUAGGGAAUCUUCCGCAAUGGGCGAAAGCCUGACGGAGCAACGCCGCGUGAGUGAUGAAGGUCUUCGGAUCGUAAAACUCUGUUAUUAGGGAAGAACAUAUGUGUAAGUAACUGUGCACAUCUUGACGGUACCUAAUCAGAAGGCCACGGCUAACUACGUG
rnacentral:rRNA from 1 species